UAGGGCAGACAAGGGUUUUGCUGCUAAGUUAGCUGAGAAGUGGAAAGGCCCUGCCAAAAUAAUUAGGAAAAUUAGUCCUGUGAAUUAUGAGAUUGAAUACCUUGAUGACUCUAGUCGGGUUGACACCAUCCAUGUAGAAAAUCUAAAGUAUUACUACGGUUGGGUUGGGUCAACUCUUAAGGGGGUGGGUGUGUAACCAAAUUGGCUACAUAGCCUUAUUUAUAGAGUUUUUGAGCGUUCUGGCCUCCCGGCCACUAGGGGGGCUUCUAGAUUUUUUUGCCUAUGCUUUGGCUGCAUACAGGAGGUUUAAAGAGAGAGAGAGUUGACGGGUGAACACAUUGCACUCUGUACUGCGUCUCCCUGGGAGGAAACCUCAUGGUUUCAUGCCUUCUAGGGAGUUUAUGUAUGUCCACAAAUCCCUGUGACUUUGAGACCCCAAGAGGAGUCAAGCCUGAAGCAAGGACUUAUCAACCUCUGUCAGCAGACAACCACUAGAAAGACUGUUCACCCGCUCUAAACCCUGCUAAGGACUCUGGCUGGACUAGUGGGACUAUUUGAAUCCAUUGACUAAUAGACUGUCCAUUCUUCAAAGAACGAAUUAAGGGACUCCUUUCAUUGUUUAUGUCCAUGAUGGUGUAUAUGUGGGUUUGGGUGGUUUGGAUAAAUGGUGUUUCAUACUUAAA